rnacentral:rRNA from 1 species
UACGGAGGGGGUUAGCGUUGUUCGGAUUCACUGGGCGUAAAGGGUGCGUAGGUGGCGUGGUAAGUUUGAUGUGAAGGCUCAGGGCUCAACCCUGAAAUGGCAUUGAAUACUACUAUGCUGGAGGUUUGGAGGGGGGACUGGAAUUCUUGGUGUAGCAGUGAAAUGCGUAGAUAUCAAGAGGAACACCAGUGGCGAAGGCGAGUCCCUGGACAACACCUGACACUGAGGCACGAAAGCCGGGGGAGCAAACAGG